AUUGAACGCUGGCGGCAGGCCUAACACAUGCAAGUCGAGCGGUAGCACAGAGAGCUUGCUCUCGGGUGACGAGCGGCGGACGGGUGAGUAAUGUCUGGGAAACUGCCUGAUGGAGGGGGAUAACUACUGGAAACGGUAGCUAAUACCGCAUAACGUCGCAAGACCAAAGUGGGGGACCUUCGGGCCUCAUGCCAUCAGAUGUGCCCAGAUGGGAUUAGCUAGUAGGUGGGGUAACGGCUCACCUAGGCGACGAUCCCUAGCUGGUCUGAGAGGAUGACCAGCCACACUGGAACUGAGACACGGUCCAGACUCCUACGGGAGGCAGCAGUGGGGAAUAUUGCACAAUGGGCGCAAGCCUGAUGCAGCCAUGCCGCGUGUGUGAAGAAGGCCUUCGGGUUGUAAAGCACUUUCAGCGGGGAGGAAGGCGGUGAGGUUAAUAACCUCACCGAUUGACGUUACCCGCAGAAGAAGCACCGGCUAACUCCGUGCCAGCAGCCGCCGCGG
rnacentral:rRNA from 1 species